rnacentral:tRNA from 1 species
AAACAAGAAGCUAAUCAGCAAUCAGUUUCGACCUGACCAAUAGGUGUAACAAUUAAUCACCCUUGUUUU